GAUUGAGCGGCCGAUAUCAGAUUAGGUAGUUGGUGGGAUAAAAGCCUACCAAGCCAACGAUCUGUAGCUGGUCUGAGAGGAUGAUCAGCCACACUGGGACUGAGACACGGCCCAGACUCCUACGGGAGGCAGCAGUGGGGAAUUUUGGACAAUGGGCGAAAGCCUGAUCCAGCCAUUCCGCGUGCAGGAUGAAGGCCCUCGGGUUGUAAACUGCUUUUGUACAGAACGAAAAAGCUCUGGCUAAUACCUGGAGUCCAUGACGGUACUGUAAGAAUAAGCACCGGCUAACUACGUGCCAGCAGCCGCGGUAAUACGUAGGGUGCAAGCGUUAAUCGGAAUUACUGGGCGUAAAGCGUGCGCAGGCGGUUUUGUAAGACAGAGGUGAAAUCCCGGGCUCAACCUGGGAACUGCCUUUGUGACUGCAAGGCUGGAGUGCGGCAGAGGGGGAUGGAAUU
rnacentral:rRNA from 1 species